rnacentral:rRNA from 1 species
AAUGAACGCUGGCGGCGUGCUUUACACAUGCAAGUCGAGCGAGGCGGGUAGCAAUACCCAGUCGAGCGGCGAACGGGUGAGUAACGCGUGGAUAACCUGCCCAGAGGGUGGGGGAUAACCCGGGGAAACUCGGGCUAAUACCGCAUAUGACCGUGAGGUCAAAGGGGGCUCGCAAGAGCUCUCGCCAUUGGAGGGGUCCGCGUACGAUUAGCUAGUUGGUAGGGUAAUGGCCUACCAAGGCGACGAUCGUUAGCCGGCCUGAGAGGGUGAUCGGCCACACUGGAACUGAGACACGGUCCAGACUCCUACGGGAGGCAGCAGUGGGGAAUUUUGCGCAAUGGGCUAACGCCUGACGCAGCAACGCCGCGUGGAGGAUGAAGGUCUUUGGAUUGUAAACUCCUGUCAGCAGGGAAAAAGCGACCUGACCUCAUACGUCAGGGAGUUGAUUGUACCUGCAGAGGAA